GGUCUUGCUGGGUGACAGUGUUGUGGUGGGGAUGGUGCAGAGUGGGCGUCAGCAGGCCCAGGCUGGGUCUGGGUGAUGCCAGCAAUAGGGAGGCCCAUCUUCUGUGUUCGUGGGGUACUGACCAAAUGCCUCCAAGUGCCUCCAUGCAGACCAGGGCUCGCUUCAGGCCAAGGCUUCGUAGUCAGACUCAGGCUACACUGCUUCUGUGGGUGAUGCACCCUCCUCUCCUGGGAAGAACGGCUCCCAACCUUCUGCCAGCCACAGGAUGUGAAGAAUGGGUGUCUUGUCAGGCCCACAUCCAUCUUCUGUUUGUACCUGCAGCUUCCCUGUCUCCCAUGUCACACCAUCAGGAGGAGACAAGAUGGUUCUCACACUCAGCCUGGGGCACCGACAUACCACAGCCCAUGGCCCUACCUGCCUCUGAGGGGGCCGGUGUCUUCCCACCACCACCGGCAGGCAAUCAGCUGGAGGAAUUUGACAAGACCAUACACUUUGUCCUAAGAUCUGGGCACCAUCCCUGACCAGGGACGUAGGAGGCAGGGUCACUGGCUGCCACUCGGAGGGUGCCACUUGCAGGCCUGUUUGGUGAGCCUCGGGUUUCCAGUUACUCAGACCAGCAACACUCUGUAACCCUGACCAGCGUGUGGGGGAAAUUCACAAUAAGAAUAUUUUGAAAAGUGUUUUAGACUUCUCAAAAUAUCAUACCUCAUGAAAAUAAAAUCAUGAGAAAUUUUAGAAUUAAACAUGGGGUUUGAGGCUGGG